CAAGACGUAGCUCAACUUAAAGCACCUGGCUUACACCCAGGAGAUGUCGUGCAACGAUCGUUUUGA
rnacentral:tRNA from 1 species